rnacentral:rRNA from 1 species
AGCGAACGCUGUCGGCAGGCCUAACACAUGCAAGUCGAACGAAGUCUUCGGACUUAGUGGCGGACGGGUGAGUAACACGUGGGAACGUGCCUUUAGGUUCGGAAUAACUCAGGGAAACUUGUGCUAAUACCGAACGUGCCCUUCGGGGGAAAGAUUUAUCGCCUUUAGAGCGGCCCGCGUCUGAUUAGCUAGUUGGUGAGGUAAAGGCUCACCAAGGCUACGAUCAGUAGCUGGUCUGAGAGGAUGACCAGCCACAUUGGGACUGAGACACGGCCCAACCGCCUACGGGAGGCAGCAGUGGGGAAUCUUGCGCAAUGGGCGAAAGCCUGACGCAGCCAUGCCGCGUGAAUGAUGAAGGUCUUAGGAUUGUAAAAUUCUUUCACCGGGGACGAUAAUGACGGUACCCGGAGAAGAAGCCCCGGCUAACUUCGUGCCAGCAGCCGCAGUAAAAC